UACAGAGGUCUCAAGCGUUGUUCGGAUUCAUUGGGCGUAAAGGGUGCGUAGGUGGCGCGCUAAGUCAGGUGUGAAAUCUCGGGGCUUAACUCCGAAACUGCAUUUGAUACUGGCGUGCUUGAGGACUGGAGAGGAGACUGGAAUUCAUGGUGUAGCAGUGAAAUGCGUAGAGAUCAUGAGGAACACCAGAGGCGAAGGCGGCUACCUGGACAAUUGCUGACGCUCAGGCACGAAAGCGUGGGGAGCAAAAGGG
rnacentral:rRNA from 1 species